UCCGUAACGAGCGCAACCCUUGUCCUUAGUUACCAGCACGUUAUGGUGGGCACUCUAAGGAGACUGCCGGUGACAAACCCGGAGGAAGGUGGGGAUGACGUCAAGUCAUCAUGGCCCUUACGGCCUGGGCUACACACGUGCUACAAUGGUCGGUACAAAGGGUUGCCAAGCCGCGAGGUGGAGCUAAUCCCAUAAAACCGAUCGUAGUCCGGAUCGCAGUCUGCAACUCGACUGCGUGAAGUCGGAAUCGCUAGUAAUCGUGAAUCAGAAUGUCACGGUGAAUACGUUCCCGGGCCUU
rnacentral:rRNA from 1 species